UUUCUCUCAGGGUCGCAUCUGGAGAGUUUCCAUUACUCUGCCAGUCUCGGCUAUGAGAUGGAGAGUCAAACAGAGGCCUGUCCAUUCCAUUCUUAGCUUGAGCAGUGGCUAGUGAGUGGGAGGCAGUCUGCUACAAGU
rfam:Ornithorhynchus anatinus chromosome 3, whole genome shotgun sequence.